GGAUGUGGGGGUGAUCUGCCUGCAACAUCUGUCAUUGAUCACCAGGGUUGAUUUGGCUGAUUUGGAUGGCUAGGCAGGUGUCCCUUUCAUCCCUCACUGCUUUAUGUGUGUCCCUCCUGAAGCUGUGCACUUGGUGGAAGAGGACAACCAUCUCAGAUAGAAGGAGUAUACCAUUCUUUGGUCAAAGGUUUAUGAUAGCUGCGCUCCUCUGCUAGAACCUCCACCCAGUAUUGCUGGGGAAAUACUGGAUUUCAAAGUACAAUACCCUGUGUGUUCAGCCUGGAUGGUCGAUAAAAUCCAGACACCA